ACACAGGGGAACUAAUUAGUUUAAUUAUCAAAACAGCUAAUUAAAAUUACACAGUUGCCUAAUUAGUUCUUUGCGUUUUUUCUCUGGUUUAAUUGACAGGAUGGAGUUAAAUAGGUAACCGGUCUCAAAGAGGGAAAGGGAAAAAACCAGGAAUAGCUUCUGCUGAAUAUUUUAGCUGAUGUUAUCUCAUUCAUGUGGCAGACCAGUAACAGGAAAAUAAAUGACUCUCAUCCUUUUGCUUUGUUCUCAAUGAAGAAGGAGAGCAUUUGAACAGGGGAGGGAAACCAAAGAAAGUACACGUGGGCAUCUGAACGAUUGUACUGCUUCCUCUAUGCUGUGUUUUAUGAGAAGAGAAGGAAUUGAAACUUGUGCAAGAAAGGAUCAUGCAAUCCCCACUCUCUGGUAAGUUCUGGCAUGCCUCUAUAAUCUGGGAUGCUGCUAAGGUUUGU
rnacentral:lncRNA from 1 species